GACAGAGGGGGCAAGCGUUGCUCGGAAUUACUGGGCGUAAAGCGUCCGCAGGUGGCAGUUCAAGUCUGCUGUCAAAGACCGGGGCUUAACUUCGGAAAGGCAGUGGAAACUGAACAGCUAGAGUAUGGUAGGGGCAGAGGGAAUUCCUGGUGUAGCGGUGAAAUGCGUAGAGAUCAGGAAGAACAUCGGUGGCGAAGGCGCUCUGCUGGACCUUAACUGACACUGAGGGACGAAAGCUAGGGGAGCGAAUGGG
rnacentral:rRNA from 1 species